rnacentral:rRNA from 1 species
AUUGAACGCUGGCGGCAGGACUAACACAUGCAAGUCGAGCGGAGCGGCGGACGGGUGAGUAAUGCCUAGGAAUCUGCCUGGUAGUGGGGGAUAACGUCCGGAAACGUGCGCUAAUCCCGCAUACUAUCAGAUGAGCCUAGGUCGGAUUAGCUAGUUGGUGGGGUAAAGGACUACCAAGGCGACGCUCCGUAACUGGUCUGAGAGGAUGAUCAGCCACACUGGAACUGAGACACGGUCCAGACUCCUACGGGAGGCAGCAGUGGGGAAUAUUGGACAAUGGGGGAAACCCUGAUCCAGCCAUCCCGCGUGUGCGAUGAAGGCCUUCGGGUUGUAAAGCACUUUUGGCAGGAAAGCGGUACCUGCAGAAUAAGCACCGGCUAACUACGUGCCAGCAGCCGCGGUAAUUC